CUUGAUCGAGCCGAGCAGCAGCGGCCGGUCGGCGGGCCGGUCCUGCCCGUAGGUGGCCAGGAGCGCCUGCGCCUC
rnacentral:antisense_RNA from 1 species